ACGUCACUUUCACAACACUGUCUAGCACUCGCAGCUUGAAGCUGUCUGUGAGGUACUAUGGAGAGAAAACUGAGUCGCUCGGGGACGCCGUGCUGCAUCUAACGGCUGUCGAGAUAUCUCUGGACGUAGAUGCUGACCGAGAUGGCAUUGUUGAGAAAAACAAUCCAAACAAGG